UACGGAGGGUGCAAGCGUUAUCCGGAAUCACUGGGUUUAAAGGGUGCGUAGGCGGUUUGAUAAGUCAGUCGUGAAAUUCCCCGGCUUAACCGGCGGGACUGCGAUUGAUACUGUUGAACUUGAAUCAGGUUGAGGUAGGCGGAAUGUGACAUGUAGCGGUGAAAUGCUUAGAUAUGUCAUAGAACACCGAUUGCGAAGGCAGCUUGCUGGACCUGUAUUGACGCUGAGGCACGAAAGCGUGGGGAGCAAACAGG
rnacentral:rRNA from 1 species